rnacentral:rRNA from 1 species
AUUGAACGCUGGCGGCAGGCUUAACACAUGCAAGUCGAACGAGUGGCGGACGGGUGAGUAAUGUCUGGGAAACUGCCCGAUGGAGGGGGAUAACUACUGGAAACGGUAGCUAAUACCGCAUACCAUCUGAUGUGCCCAGAUGGGCUUAGCUAGUGGGUGGGGUAAUGGCUCCCCUAGGCGACGAUCCCUAGCUGGUCUGAGAGGAUGAACAGCCACACUGGAACUGAGACACGGUCCAGACUCAUACGGGAGGCAGCAGUGGUGAAUAUUGCACAAUGGGCGCAAGCCUGAUGCAGCCAUGCCGCGUGUAUGAAGAAGGCCUUCGGGUUGUAAAGUACUUUCAGCGGGGAGGCGUGACCCGCAGAAGAAGCACCGGCUAACUCCGUGCCAGCAGCCGCGGUAAUUC